rnacentral:rRNA from 1 species
AGGACGAACGCUGGCGGCGUGCUUAACACAUGCAAGUCGAGCGGAAAGGCCCUUCGGGGUACUCGAGCGGCGAACGGGUGAGUAACACGUGAGCAACCUGCCCCUGGCUCUGGGAUAGCCUCCGGAAACGGGGAUUAAUACCGGACAUUCACUUCCUUCCGCAUGGUUGGUGGUGGAAAGUUUUUCGGCCGGGGAGGGCUCGCGGCCUAUCAGCUUGUUGGCGGGGUAACGGCCCACCAAGGCGACGACGGGUAGCCGGCCUGAGAGGGCGACCGGCCACACUGGGACUGAGACACGGCCCAGACUCCUACGGGAGGCAGCAGUGGGGAAUAUUGCGCAAUGGGCGGAAGCCUGACGCAGCGACGCCGCGUGGGGGAUGAAGGCCUUCGGGUUGUAAACCCCUUUCACCAGGAGCGAAUCCAGACGGUACCUGGGGAAGAAGCGCCGGCUAACUACGCGCCAGCAGCCGC